ensembl:lncRNA
CUAAUAAAAAAGGGGGAAAAGUAAGAGGUUCUAUCAAUCACAGAAAAGAGAACACCCCCCCCAAAAAAAAACCCAACUCAUUUUUAGGGCUUUCCACAAACCAAAUAUUAUCCAAAUAAUCUAUGUUCAAGCCAAAAGCUAUAAUCUGAGAAUUGCUAUGUUGAAGGGUUACUUUUUGCUUUAAAAACAAAACAUAUUCUCUGGGUCCCUCCAUACUGUGCCAGUGAAAGCCAUUUCUCUUUGAAGAUCUGAGAGUGAUGAGCAUGAAAUCCAAGGCUGCCGAAGUAGGCAAUCCUGAGAGAGUACCCAGUGCCAUUCUCUGAACUGUGGUUGCUCCACCAGGCCUGCUGGGAGGAAGCUGGGCCUUUGGUGUAGUUAGCAGCUGGCUUUGUGUGGGUGUCUCUGUUCAGUGUGCUGCUUUGGAACCUGUGAGAGGCCUGCUGGUUGAGAGUUUUAUCGUCAUCCCAUGACCAGUUGUCAGAGAGAACUGUGGUAUGAAGCUUGUUGAUUUUAGAGAGCUAUUCUCAGAAGCCCUUUUUGGAAGGAGAUAAAAGGCAGGAAGAGUACCAGCAGCCUGGCUCCGUCUUGAUGUGGAUGCUUUGGAAAAUGGUAAGUGGUUCUGUGGGACCAUCGAAGGGGAUCAGAUUACAGCCUACUGUAAAGGUAAAAACAACUAACAGUCUAUGACAGGGAUGUCACAUGUCCUGGGGUCUCCCUCCAAGCAGUCAUGGAGCAGAGAGAGUGUUUUCUCUCCACACUCCUCCUUCUCUGAGAUGAAGGUUGUAAAACUUCUAAUCUGUCAGUGGUUCAUUAGUUCAGUUUCUGAGUGACUAGCAGAUGCAGACUCAUGAUUUAAGGCGAUUGUCUUGUUGAGACUGAAGGACUUUUGAAACAGCUAGUUACCACCUCUGGUGAAGGCUGUGACGACAGCUAGUUAAAUUCUAAGUGUCUGGUGAAAAUUUUCUCAUCUUGAAAGUCAUAGGCAGAGAAGGACACUUGACCAAAGCCAAGGCAUGUAAACCGUAGUCACAUGGUCCUGUGCUGCUCUAUUGUCCCUGGAGAAUGCACAUGCCAUGGCAAAGGAUAUUUUUAUAAUAUGCAACUUAGAUGAUUCUUGGAGUCAGGUGAGUGGGUGAUUCUGGGCAGAAAAAAACUGUCUUCAGCAAGAAGUGAGAAUCCAUAUUGAGGAGAACAGGAGCUAAGAGGCCAAGAAUACCCUCGGGCAAGGGGAAGAUUGCAGUGGGAGGAGACUGAGAGAUGACGUGGUGGUGGUGGAGAGAAGGCAUUUAGUCUGAAAGGACUAGACCUGCUACCAACAGGAAAAGGAUUUCUCUCUACUCCAGAAUUGAGACUUGCUUGGCCUGGGACUGGUGGAGAUGGACUGACUCCUAGGGAUUGCUAGCCAUGGGGGUUCAGAAGAGCCCCCCCCCAUGUUAGGCCUAGCACAAUAAUUGAGCACUGUGAGAUUAUUGUGCUUAAAGCAUCCAGACGGAUAGGACUCUUAUUCCAGGAUGCAUGCUAGUGAGUUUUUUUGAUUUAGUCAAGCAAAUUAGUCUGUUACUUACUGCAGAACACCAAGUCAGUGUUUCUUACUAGCAGACAAAAGAGCAGAAAAUGUCCUCAUAGAUUUUGUUUCCUGCGUAUUUAAUUAAGAUAGGGUGACAGAACCCAAGUGUGAAACCUUCCCAGGGGGCUGGCAGGAAGGUGGUAUGUUUUACACAGCCUUCUGCCUAUAGAUAAAGUUACUAACUGGCAUCUCUCACAACAUUGCUGGUUUGGCUCACUUAACCGCAGUGGGACAGAGGGUCAGAACUGAACAAGUUCAUACAUCCUUUGGGGAUGGGAGGCCAGUGUGACAGGCAGAAUGGAGUGUCUACAGCUAUGGAGUUAAAAGGCGUGUAGUGUGCAGGAUAGCUGUGGUCUUGCAACUGAGUACAGCUCUGUGGUGCAUGGGUUUCAGGAACUCUGAUUUAGCACUGGCUUUUGUCUUCAGCGUCUGCAUUGUCAUUGGCUUUUAUGAAACCCUUUGUAGUUUCAGUUGGAGAUGGUAUCACUUUUGAGGGAAGGUCAUACCUCAGCUAAUACUCAAAGUCAAUGUAUUUAGUCACAUGCUAAACACAAGGGUAUUUACAUAAGUGUGAUACUACAUGCUUGGGGGGGGCUCUCAGAACAAAGGGGUUUCUGGGCUGGGGAGGUCAGUAAGUAGGGUGCUUGCUGAACAAGCAUGAGGAUUGGAGUUCAGUACCCAGAACCCAAGUGAAAAGUGGUGGUCCGCACAGAAUCUCAGCCCUAGAGAGGUGGAGACUGAUAGUUCUAUGGGCUUCACUGGUCAGCCUCUUAAUUGGUUAAGUCUCAGACCAAUGAAGGACCGAAGAAGGAUAUUGGAGGCUGACCUCUGGCCUUCACACACGUACACACCCAUGAAGAAGGAACCAGGUUCAGGCUUGCUUCUGCAUUGUCUGAUCUAAUGGGACAGGUAGAGAGGCACUGUAUAUCAUUUGGCGAUUGAGAGCUCGGAGGGUACAGUAGAUCCUGGUCAGCUUCAGAUCCUGGUGUUGACACGUGCCAAAUGUUUAAGUUUGGAAAAGGUUUUCCUUCACCUUAAAAAGACCCACAACCGGCACGGGCCAACAGGAAGAUCUGUGCCUGUGCCUUAGGGUGCCAGAGCCUAAAGCAGAAGGUGGUUGCAGUGGGGUUAGAAGCCCCAGUUUCGUGCCUCGUUUGUUCCAAACAACAGAACUAGCAGCACCAGUCUGUGAACUCAGUGCUUUCUUAGGAGUCCAGAGACGGUGACUUGGUUGGAAGUUUGUUGUUAGAGAUGAGGGUUGGGGUGUUCUCUGUGUGGAAAGGUCACCCAGACUCGAUGGCUCUGCCAGAGGCAACCCUGAAAGACAGGGCAGAGCUAGAACAAAAACAGACAAGUAGUUAGUAUUUCUCAUUUUUCCUUGAAGUUAGAGGUUGAAAUAAACUUUUCCAGAAAUGACAGUACCUCAACUCAUGCAUUCUUGUAAUACACACACUUGUUGAGCCAGUUAGCUGCUCAGACCGUCCAGGUCUGGCAUACCAUGGCUCAUUGACUUCAGGAGCCAUGUUGAUGGUUGACUGCCACAUUUGUCUGGUCUAUAAAAAUUAGAAGGUUUCAGGAAAAGUGAAUAAAACUAAUAAUAAUUUGACAAAUUAGAAAGAAGCAGCAGAAUGGCUCGGUGGCUAAGCAUACUUUCCGCAGAGGAGAUGCUAUGGGGUUGCUGCAGUUCCUCCUUCCAGAUCCCCAGGUAAAGUUCCUGUUGUACUGACCCUGGCUUAGAGCCAUAUGAAAGGGGAUUUUGGGAAUUUUUUUUUUUUAACCAAGCCAACCCCAACACAAAACCCCACAGUUAUGCUAUGAAAUGUAUUUUUUUUUACUUAUUGUUGUUUUGGUAACUGGAAAAGACAUGCAGAAUUAUUUCUGUUAAAAAUUAUCUGAAAAGUUUGUUGGUAUAUCAAAUAAAUUCGCAAAUACUUAACUUGAUUAUAUAAUUGUUUUCUCUCAGCAAACCUUAUCUACUUCUGAAAUGGCAUACUAGCUUAAGAAAUGGGACUGAUUUGAUCAUAUCCUCAUCUCCUGAAAGCAUGUCUUGUAAUUUGACAAUCAGUUUGAAUAGCAUUAUGCAAGGUUUUCUGAAAUUACCCUGUAUAGUGCCAUCUAGUGGUAAACAAUUUACUUGUUUUUGGACAGUAGUUCAUAUUGUACUUUUUGAUAAACUAUUUAUUUCACUUCUAAUCAUUAUUUAUUUAUUUUAUUUAAAGGGACUGUCUAAACCAAGUAUUUACAGAUGGAAGGACUAGAGAAGGAAAAACUAACUGGUUUUUCCUUGUACAGCAAUACAUGCACACAUAGCGAGUUGUCCUUUGUUUAACCUAACAACAUUUGGGCAUAGGCAUAAGACCCUUUUUUGUUUAUGAAAGCCAUGUGCUUGUUGCAGAGGUACAAUGUAAGAUACAUGCCUCGGCUUUGAAAUCAGGCGUGCGCAAGCCUGGUGUUCUAUAAUUGCUGUCUGCCAAGUGGUGUUCAGUCCCUUUUGUGUGUACCAGCUCAUUAACUAUUCACGGACUUUGAUUUCUCAUGAUGGGAUUUACCUUUGCUGCACACCCAACCCAGUGUGCAGAGCCCCUCCACCCUCUUGAUUGUGAUGAUAAUUAAAUUUUUGCAUAAUGCUCAGCAUUUACAUUGUGAUGACUUGAAAUACAUUAUUCGCAACCAAGUGGUAGGAUCCAUAGUUAGAUUUUCUCUCCAUCAUAGUUUUAUUUGUUUGUUUUUAAUUAGCAAUUGUGUUUGGGGGCAGGGUUUAUCUAGAUGUACUUAAGACUUUAUAGUCAUUCCUGAACUCUUCCCCAGAUAAUUAAAAAAAAAACAAAAACAAAAACAAAACAAAACAAAAAAAACGUUAUUUGUGGUCCUGUGAAACAGACACUUGAGGUUUUGUGUUGACCAAGUCACUCGGGGAUAACAGUUGCUAGCCAGCACUUGGCCACUGUGGCCCAGCAGUCUUUUGCCUAGUAGCUGUGAUGUCUUUGUUGCCUCCAAGAAAGGUUGUGGGUCUUAGGGUCUGGCUGGAAGUAGGGCCCUCUCUGUGUGGCGAAGGCCUCAGUCAAGCGUGAUGGGGGUUCUGCAAGGCGAAGGCACUAGUCACUUUUGAUAGUGACUUGCUAUAGAGAAAUAGAGUGGGUGAAUUUUCUGGGAUUGCAGUAGAAAGGAAAUACACAAGACAGGAACAAACUAGUUCAAAUCUUGUUUGAAGCCUUCCUGGGGAGGUAGCUUCUUGGGUCUGGUCAGGAAAUGGCAAAGGAGACACACACAGUGGUGUCUUCCUUGUCUUCCUCCUGGCUUGGUUUGCUCCAGCAGUAUCUGAGGUAUUACUCUUGGGAUCAGCAUUACCCGUGUAAAAGAAAGGAGACAAUAGGAGUCUAAGACGCUUAUGUUAUUUUAGUAGAAGUAUUGGCUGCAGAACUGUUUGUCUGUCCGUAAGACACAGAGGCUGUCAUUCUUCAUGGCGAGCACUAGGAGGCCACAGAGGCCCGACUCUGGACACAGGUUUCACAUAGGGAAGAAACAACAGCAAACCCUAGGGAAAGCAGCACUAUGCUAACAGCUGAUUAGCUAGUUUAAAGAGGUUGGUAUUUCAUGAUGCAAUGAGGAAUAGUCUGAACAUUGUUUUGUGAACACAGUUUCUUGGUUCAUUCAGCAUGCUGUUUGUAAAUAGGAUGAGCUGAGCAUUCUGUUUUCUUAGAAUGGUGCUUUGUAGUCAAACCUCUAGAUACAGGCCUGAUUUUUAUGCACAGAAGUUGGAUGUCUGAUGGACCAAACUCUCUCUGUAUUCCUCCAGUCCAUUGUGUGGAUUGAAAACAAAUACUUUCAUAAAAAGAAGCAGUUUGGGCCACAGGCAUUCUCAAAUCUUCUGGUUAACUAUCAGAUAUUAUUUCAAGCUUGAGCUUGUCCAUCCUCCAUUAAAUCAUUACUUCAUCAGGUGGUUGCUGAGUGUCUUUGGUCUCCAGGCCCUGCUGGCUCCUCUACUGAUAGCACGAAUACCUCCCCCCCUAAAGUUUUACCUUUUUGAUUUUAAAGGUAAAUGAACAUGUAAUGACAUAAUCCUCUUUAUUUCCGAGUUGCCUCCUUUAUUCACUACCUGUACCACCUCUGUUACCCUGAUCUCCUGGCCUAUGUAUUAUUUUAUCCGUACUAUAAUGAUUUCAUGUACCUGACAUUUCUCUUUAUUAAAAUUGUAAAUGGCCGAAUGGUGGUGGUGCAUGCCUUUAAUCUAACCAGCAUUCAGGAGGCAGAGGCAGGCAGAUCUCUGUGAGUUCGAGGCCAGCCUGGUCUACAGAGUGAGUUCCUGGAUGGGCUCCAAAGCAAUACAGAGAAACCCUGUCUCAGGAAAAAAAAAAAAAAAAGAACAGGCAGUCUUUUAUUUUCUAUGUUUCCUGGUAGAACAAAGUGUAAUAGUAAACAGAGGAGAAUACUUUCUUAUCAGUAGCGUGUCCUUUGGGUGGCUUUCCAAGCAUCCUCAUCCCUUCUCCCAGUCUCUCCUUCUUUUCUCCUUCUCCCCCCCUUUCUGGUGUGUCAUAUUUCUGAAAGGGGUCUUGAAGGUAGCUCAGUUGAUAUGGUGUUUAACAAGGCUUGAAUUCAGUCCCCAGAAACAAAGCCAGGAUGGAGGUUUAGGCUGCUGAUCUCAGCAAGGGGAGGGGUCGGGAUGAGGAACGACACUGGAGGUUGUCCUCUGAUGUCCACACACACAGACUGCUUGCACACACAAGCACAUGCGCACACACAUAACAUACACAGAAAAAUUUGAAAUAAUGAGUUUUCUGGAUGCUUUGGCAUUUGUCCUUAAUGUUUUUUAUUUUUCACUGUUUUAUAUAAACCUCUGAUUUCUGGGAGGCAGAUUACCCGAUUUCUCUUCAUGGUUUUAAAGGAUGUUUUGGGGUCUUUUCCUUAGUAAUCUUAGGGUGCACGUCUUCAAAGACUCCGUACAGAUUUUAAUUAAAGUCAGUGAGUCCAAGGUCAAGGAUGCUUGGUUACUGACCUCUGUUUAUGGUAUUAGGAGGAACUGCAUGUGAAUUCUGAAUUCUUGAUGUGAUGUAACUGUGAGUUCCCUAGGAGAUGCAAAAUGGGUGUGGGACUUUGGUGGGAACUCAGAAAUCUGUCCAGGACCAGCAGAGGACACACUGCUUUCGGUUUGGAAUAUGAGGCUUCCAAACCAGCAUGUUGUGUGUCUCCACCCUUGAGAUCUUCCUUUGCUCACUUUCUUAACGCCAGAGAGAUUAGCUCCUGGACAGACAUGUGGACUCCCCCACCACCACCACCACACACACAGAGAAGUACCUGAAACUAUUCUGUUCCUCUGAGCCCUGUGCUGGCACACUGUACUGUGUUCCAGGAUUUGUGAGCAGGUGGCUGUGUGUGUGUGGCCUUUGGUAAUUGGGUAGCUCACAAUGUGGCUUGAAUUCCCACAUGGGCAGUGUGCAGGAUGUCCAAACAAAACACAGAAAGGCAGUGUUCACUGGAGCUGACUGACCUUUGCAGUUCUCACCACACUCAAGUUCUGAUUUUUAACCAUUAGUAGAUGAGUUACAUUUUCACGAACUGUAGAUAAUAUUAAUUUGGACAUGAGAUAGCAUAAUAUACUACCUUUUUUAAAAACGUCAUAUCUCUGAAUCUGUUCUGUUUUACUGUGUAGACUUGGCUGGUUUGGAACUAACUAUAUAGGCCAGACUGGCUUUGAACUCAUGAGAGGUUGGCCAGCCUUUACCUCUUGAGUGCUGGGAUUAAAGGCAUGCAUCCCUACACCUAGCAUGAUACAUAUUAAUUAAUAUAUAUUAAUCUCAAAAUGACUAUAUUCUACCACAGACUUGUACUGUCCAAUGGGUAGGUAUUUACUAUUAAGAGUUGACUACUAAAGUUCAGUCUAGUUAAAAAUCCAUGGCCACAAUAUAGCUCAAUAGUAAAGUAUGAGGCCCUCGAUUAAGUGCACAGUCCCAGGCAGUCAGUCACUUCUUAGUUACUCUAAGCCGUAUAUGGCUACCAUAUUUGAUAAUUACAUAAUUCUUUCAUCAAUCUAAGAAUGUGAUUGUACAUUGUCUGGGUUUUAUGUAUCAGAGUUUUGCAUUUGUGCUGUACAUAUCAUAUCCUAUAAGGAAGACUGGAUAAGCCAAUCCGAAUAUCCCCAGGGAGAGUUCUGAAGACCCCAGUGUAUUGUUUAUAUGAUGAUGGGCUAGAAAAGUUACUUCUCAGGUAAGUACCAGGACAAGUCAUGCUUACCCUGAGACUUACAUCCCAGCAUCCCUAGGGAUAACUUUGCAAUCAGUUUUCUUUGUUGUUGAUGUUUUUUUUUUUCUUUGCCUUAUCUGGGAAUAUAGAGCCAAAGUUACUGAACAAUUGAAGUAGCCCCCUGGCAUGUAGAUCUGUGUGCUUUGUUCCUUUCUCUGCAGUCUCUGGGAACACCUGCCAGAAAGCCCUUUAGUUGGCUUUUCCAAAACACUUUAAUUUUCAAAAUAGUAAUUAAAGAACUCUCAGUGAUGGAGUUGACAGAACCCUUCAGGCCUUUCAGUGUUGCUAGGGAAAUUCAGCUGGGAGUCUAUUUGUGUCUUAGUCAAGCUGUGUAGACAGGGCUUGAAUAAGGAGGCUAGUGGGCUGUCUGGUGUCUUUUUAGAGGAAGGGGGUCCUUGUGGACAACACAGAAUUGAAUUCUUAGUUACCCUUUCUCAGUGGAGAAACACUCUCCUCUUUUCCAUUUUAUUCUGAAACUUACAGGCCAUUGUGAUACUUGUACAUUUCAGGCCAAAGAGUAAAAUAAGUUUUAAGCCGUACAUCAAAGGAAAGUUGUAGAGCUAGGCAUUCUAUUGGGCAAAGUUGUCGAAUAUAUUCGAUUUGGGGCUUUCUAGUUGCUGAAGUGAGAAGGAAAACAGAGCUGCCUAGUUUGUGUGUGUUGACAGCCAGAAGCUGGUAAACAUCUGCAGAAACCAAGCGUUUCCUGGAACUAAACUCAAGCAGACAUGCGUCACGUGGACCUUUGUUUAAAGAGUCUAGUGAAGAAUAUCUUCAACCACAGUUACAUAACAGGUCCAGGAGCACAGUGCAUGUGAAUUGGGUUCUCUUGGGGGUGACCAGGAAGCCCAGGGUGUGCCCUUACAAGGCAGGUGGGUGGAAAGGAGCUCAGGGACCUGAGGCCAGGGCCUGUGCUGUUUGGAAAUUACAGGAGAGAACUUUAGACAACGGAUUUAUUUUUCUGUGGGAUAGGAGAUCUUGCCAUUGUGGCUUUUCCAUAGCAUUCCUUCCUCUUCGCUCCCAACAAUCACUCCAAUGCAGAGAUUUUGUUUUGAUGAUUAAAGCAAAGAGCAUUUUUCGUGGACCCCUAAGGGCUGGCCUUUGCCUUCACAGAAGUCUAGUUCUCUUCAGAGUAAAGGGUGACAAUAGAAUCUUCAGUCUUUCAAAACUUGUAUCCAUCCAUUUUAUUUUUUUCAUUUAGGCUUUUGUAACACAUUAGCUUAACCGUUCAUAACUAAAGUGAUAGGACAGAAACAGUCUUUUCCCCCCUUUAUGGGGGACAACUGUAGCCAGCUGCCCAUCUGAAAGAGUAUAAGAGAAGACCGUGCCCUCUCUAGAGUUGGCUAGGUAUGGUGAUUUGAAUAAGAAUGCCCCCCCCCCCCGUAGCUUCAUAUAUUUGAAUGCUAGUCAUCUUAAAAGUGCAGUAGUCCUAUAACUGUGCCUUGAAGCUUAAUGGAGGAGUUUUGGGUUAAUGUUGUUGGCAGAGGAGAUUUGAAAAUGCCCUUAAGAGAUUAACAUUAUCCAUGGUCUUUUGUGUGGUGUCUUCAGAUGAAGGAAGGGACUAAAGUGCUCUGGGCCCUCUUUCAGAACGGUACCAAUCCCGGUCAUGGGUGAUACUCCAUCCUCAGGUCAUGAUCACUGCCCCAAGGGCUUGCCUCAAAUUCCAAAACUUUGAGAGUUUUCCUAAUGUGGAGGGUACAAACCCUGGCCUAUGAUAGCAGUGGCUACAUUUUUGGUGAAAGCAGCAUUUCUGGAAAGACCCUCAUAACUAUUUUAUUCUAAUAGUUUUAAUACAGUCAUGUGAUAAUUUUGGUCUAAUUUCAUUUUCUCUAGCUACUUAGAUACACUUUCUAUCUGAAGAAUAUACAGCACCUUCCAAUGCACCUUAAAGCAGAGACUACACGUACAUCAACUACUUGUUAGAAUAAUUUCAGUUCAGUCUGCUCCCUAGGGAGGGAAUUGUUGAAAUUUGGAGUUUGUUUUGAGCUUUGUGGUUUUAUUAUCAAUUUUUUUUAUUUUUUAGCGUUUUGGAAAUUAGUUCAAAGCCAUUGGAACGCUUCAGAUGGAACAUUUUUAAGCAAUAAAUCCCAUUUCCAAAAAAGAAGAGAUUGCCAUUAGUCUCAGAGACUUGGAACUUCAGGCGUUUUGGAUAGUGUUGAGACUGGGGACUUUUGAAAUUGGACUGAAUGUAUUUUGCAUUAUGGUACGCUCCAACUUAUGGAGCCCAGGGAGUGGGUGGAACGUGGCGGUUUUAACAAGAACGGCCCCUAUGGGCUCAUACUUUGAAUGCUAGCCACCAGGGAAUGGCACUGUUUUGAAAGAAUUAGGAGAUGUGGCCUUGUCGAAGGAAGCGUGUCACUGAGGGUGGCAGGAUUUGAGGGUUCAAGAGUCCAUGUCUCCCUGGGCCAAGGAUCAGGGUGUAACUCUCAACUGCUUCUCCAGCACCAUACCAUGCUGCCAUGCUUCCCGCCAUGAUGAUAAUGAACUGAACCCCUGAAAUUGUGAGCAAGUUGCAGUGGCUAAGGCUCUAGGGUACUGUACUGGCUGGUUUUGUGUGUCACAAAUAACCUCUGUGAAAAACAUUUUGGCUGAAGCAUUGACUGUUCGGAGUUAAACAUGGAGCAGGCACAGCCUCCAUUUAAUAGACCAUGCCUUGAGCCUGACAGGUUCCCCAACAGGCGCAAAGGGCACUUUCUUGUUAGUGUCAUCUGGGGAAGGGUCAGCUGAAAAGGUUAGUGUUUUCAGGUGAUUGACAUGAAAUUAAGCUUUGAAAAAGCACUUGUGAAAAACUUAAUAAUGAGAUCACACGACUUUUUUUUCUAGAAAAUACAGUGAGACUCAUGUGAGAGAAGACAGUUUUCUGUUAAGGGAAACAGUGGUGGUGUAUUACAGUGCACACCCAGUCUGUGAUCUUCAUAGUGUUCGCAAGUGUGAAGACAACUUUGCAACAUACUCAGUCACUUUUGUACUUUAAAAAUAAGCCCAAAGUUUCAAUCCAGCGUAUCAGUUAGUAACACCUUAAUUCUCUUUGCUCUGCUGUCUCUUCUCUGUCCGCCUGCCCUAUUUUUCUCCCUCCAUCUUGAAGACAGGACUUCUUACUGAUCCCAGGUUGGCCUGGAUGUAGCUCAGGCUGGCCUCCAAAUCAUGGCCUCUCACUUCCCACCUUCUAGACACGCCCCUGUGUCCAGCUUCAGUCUUUUGAAUGUCAACCCUCUGACUGGGGAGAUUGAUCAGUGGUUAGGGCACUGGUUGCUCUUGCAAAGGACCCGGUUUCAAUUCCCAGCACCCACAUGUCAGCUCACAACUCUCCGUGACUCCAGUUCCAGGGGAUCUGGUGCCCUCACAGAGACAUGAAUGUAGGCAAAACACUAAUGCGCAUAAAAUAAAAAUAAAUGCUGUCACUUCUGAAUCAAAAGUGUUGUUUCAUAGGUUGUAUGGCUAGAAACAGCAGAUUUUACCUAGUGAAGGGUCAGACUGGGAAAAAGUGACCAGGUAGGGCUACAUGAUGUGUGUAUUUUAAUGUGUCAGCCUAGGCUUGUGCUGGAAGGGAUGUCUUAAAACAGAAAGGACAUAAUUAAGCACAAAAGAUGGCUGGGUUGUGUCUCCCACCACUCCAGGGUUAUGCAUUAACUUGAUCUGAGCCCUCACUUUAGCAAACACAGAAGGAAAAUAAUGAAAUAGAGCUGAUUUCCUGCUAGGCUCCUGAUAGUUUCAUCUUGGUGUAUAAUACAGCUUCUUUUCUCCCACAGGCAUUUUGUUGCUUCUUAGGGUUAGAAGAACUGAGCUAGCAAGAGUCUGUACUGUCUGUGCCUGACAGGAGAAUUUUCGAAAAGCUCAGAGCCACUGGCACAUUCUAGAACCUUGGUAUUGGAAUUUUGGUAUCAGAGCCAAAAGGCCAAGAAAGAACAGGUUUUGAAAGCAUCACAUGGCUGCUGGCUGUGUUUUCUGUUGCACAAAUACCUGACUCCAGUAGCUCAGGAAGACUAUCAAAGAUGGGAAGUCAGCCUGCAAGCCCGAAGUGAGAGCUCACUUGCAGUUCUCCCUUUAGCCUAGAGGUUUCCUAGGCAACCACUUAAGCAGUAAUUAAAGAUGAAGAACUAAAAGGGGGAAAAUGGUAGCAACUCUGGCCCUUUUAACGGAACACAGGAAAUCACCAACAACCAGACUCAUGUCUCCUUGUGUGAUGAUGCUCUGGACUUGACACCCCUCAUUUUCAACCUUGCUAUCUUCUUGGUUCCUCUCCUUUACUCGGGGAGGGACCGAUCUGUUUGAUUGUUCUCUGGAUGGCCUUCAUGCUGCACCUUCGUUCCCUGUGAUAUGGCUUGGCUGUCUUGCAAAAAAAUAACGCUCCUGUCUCAGCUCAGGAAGCGGGCAGGAAGCUCAUGAGGUUCCCAGUCAGGAUGCAAAGACCGAGGCAGCCCUGGAGCUCCAGAUACCCAGCCCAGAAGUCACAUCACCAGCAUGUCAAUGGCUUGUGGACAUAGUCAUGGGAUAAGAAUGGACGUUAAUACAGAGUUAAGGACCAACACUGCAGCUGACUCCUUCCUUCUCUCUGUGAUGUGAGUAAGAAGCCACAUUUAUUGCAGAAAGAACAUUGUGCACACAUCAUGAGUGAAGUCAGCUCCGUGGAAUGCCCUGGAUCCCCGAGAGUCAUUAGAAGCACUGUUCCUAAGGGAAGACGAACUCCAAUCCUAAACCAAUAGGUAAUAAUAAUCUUUUUUUAAAUCAUUAUUAGUCCCUUAGUGAGUCUAAUUUAUGAAUUGAAGUUUAUCAUCCAAAUGUAUGCAAAGGAGAAAGUUCAUUGUGCAUUGGGUGUUUUGUACUCGCUGAGGUUUCAGGUAGCCACUGAGAGUCUCAGAAUGUGUCCCAUGAUUAAGGGCAGCCUUUUUAGAUGCUGUUAACUGUGCUAGAAUGUUUCCUCGUCAUUUGCAGGGCAAAACUAAAAAAUCAGAAUCAUAGGAAAAUAGUGAUUGAAGCAUGAAUUUGGAAAUGCCGCUCAUUUAAAUGCCCAUGUGUAUUUGGGAUACAGGAAUAUCAAGUUCUCUCCUGACUUUAUUUAGGUAGUGUGUUUUCUGAAAGGGCAGUUGAUUAUGGAGCUCUGGGGCUUCCCAGAUCCAAGCUGGUGGUGGCCCUGGGUGGACUUUGGACAUCCAUCUCUUCUCACUUUGGGCAUUUUUCUGCAAUACACUUGACAUAUAGCCACUUAAUCGGGUGAGAGCUAUCUUUUUAAAACCAAAAAACAGUACCCAGAAGACAAGAAAGGACUUCCAUGUUUCCGUGUUGGCAGAAGCGCUUAGAAAUAACCGCCUGUUAGAGAUGGCGUUUCGAUCUUUGCUCCUAGCCUGACGUGGUAUUAAGAUCUUUUGGUUAAUGAUUGCCUAACAUUAAGUUCCCCUUUGCCUUUGACUCUCAGAUGUGUGUGCUUGAGCCUGAUGCUUGUAGUAAGUCAGCCUCCCACUCAGCCAUGCACUGGUUAAGAGCAAGGGCACAUCCUUAAAAAGAUGUCAGGUGAUUUCGUUGUUGUGGAGGUCACAGUGUAUGCUUUGCAAGUGAAGACAGUUCGGCAUCCCUGGGCAAUAUCUUGUGGGUCUGUUUUUGUGUAAAGGGCCUAUCCUUCACAGAAAGACAAUUACAUAGUACAGGGCCUAAUAGAUUAACUCACUAGCAAAUAAAAAUUAAGUAUAUACAUAUCUGAGUUGAGAUGUAAUGAGCUCUCGUGCAUCAAGAUGGUGUUGGUAUACAUUUUGAAACAUGUCUUGACAAAAGUUUGUUUCUAAAAUGAUCUUAAACUUAUGCUAGGGGUAAGGCUGACUAGGAGUGCAGGUGGAGAUGAUAGUUCUAGUGUUUGGGUUGGCGCCUGUCAAAGGUGUGGCAGAGCUCUGAAGUUCAAUGCAGUAGGUAGGGUAUUUGUCUGAGAUUGGACCUGAGAUUUGACCUGCAUUAAAAGAAAAAAACUAGGCAUGCCUCAGUCUGAGACAUAAAGGCAUACGGAGGAUACAUUGAUAGUUUAAAGAAGUAUCAAAAGAGUUUGGCUGUACCACCUCAGGGGUGAUAUGCAUUAACAGGGAUAAGCCAGAAGGGCUGGUGUCUUCUGUUGCACUGCGGCAACCAAGGGUGUUCUCCUGCUGUUGAUACGGUGCAGUGGGCCUUCACCUGAGAUGCUAUUUGGGGAAUGAAAGGGAUUUCGAUGCUAAAAUGAAGUUCAAGAAUCUCUGUUCUGACACAGCCAAAUUUAACUAUUAGGCAAAAUACUGGCAACACCAAAAAGAGCUCCAUAAGUAGAGAGUACAAAGUUAAGUGUUAGCUUCCUUCCUAUUUGUGUCCGAAUGUCCCAGCAGAUAAUGAUCCUGACACAAAAAAGGGCAUUUGAAGAACCUAUUCAUGUAUUCUCAGUUGGGCUCCCCAUUCAGAGAGUAUGGGAACAUGCAGAGGAAUGAAACACUCUUGGAGGGGGUGGGGAGAAAGUUUUCAUACUUCACAUUUCAUAAAAUUCUUAAGUCCGUGUUGUAAAGACGAGAUUUCCCCAGUAUUUCCCCAGGACUGAAAUAAAGUGGUUAAGAUGAAGGAGAGCUGUUGGAAAAUUCCAAGGUGUUUAGAUAGCCGUAGACCUGUAGAAACCAAGAGGGGGCAAAGCUGAGAACUACAAAGUCUGGCUGGAGCCCUGGCUCGGUGGCAGAGAGCGUUGACUCCCUAGGGGACCUAUGGUCGCUUUUGGCCUCCGAAGACACCUGUACCCACAUGGUACACACAAACUCCUGCAGGCACACACACAAAACACACAAAAAAUUUGACUUACAGGAAGGUGAUGACAUUUUAAACAUGUCUGUGUUUCUUGAUCUCGUUUUAAAGAAUCCUUUAUGUCCCCAGGGUGCUGGAAGUAGUUAGGUACUCAAGACCAGCUACCAGCUGUGCAGGGAAUGCAUUCAGGUGCCCCCCCCCAUUGCCAGAGUCAGAGAGCUGAGUUGGCGAGUCCAUGGGCUACUUUAGAAAGAGUCACUUUAUGCUGUAAAGUUCUUGAUUGAAAGCCCAAAGUAUGAUACAUCCAUCCAUAUCACUCUCCUCUGCUUGCCUUCACGUUCGCCCGUCGUUUUCUGCAGCCUGCCUUGUUUCCCCAGUUCUCUGUCUCCUAAUGUAAUGUUCAGAUCUAGCAUGGGUGAUGGGAGUGGACACAGGUAACCCAGUGUCACUCUCUAUUUGCUGAAAUUACAGUUGGUCAACCUACCUGGAGUUGUCCUGAUGCUAAGAAUGGAAGAGACGUGACUAAGUAAUAAAGGGGGAGAGGAGUGUGCGGUCAACUGUUUAGUUCCAUAGACGGGAAAGAUGACCCUCACACCUCUAAGUACAGGAGAGUGACCCCCAAUUCUUGUCUGAAGAGCACACUCUCGGUCUCCACGGAGGCAGUCUUGACACAGGUAGUUCAAAAACACGUUGAAAGUUGGUCUAAAUGGAUCAGUUACACAAUUGUUCUGUUAGUUUUUCAUGUCUUGUUUGUCACCAGGGAAACCAAAAGUUAACAUUUCUCUUUGUCAGAAUUUGCCGCCACUACAGAGUCCCCCUCCCUACUAUGGCCCUGUCCUCUUAGCCUAAGGGUGUGCAUACCUUGCCUGUACCUCCAUCUGACUCCCAGGCAGUCUGUAUAAAGACAGCAAGCUCUGGCAUUGGUGUGUGAUUCGUUGGUAAAUUGCCGGUGUCGACAUCCUAAUUCUUUUUCGCCUGGUGAAGGAGCCAGAUCUCCUGUGGUCGGCUGUGGUUUCCUCUGGGCCGGGGAGAGUGCCACGGAAACAACGAACCCUGUCUAGUUUUGACUCUGCUGGAGCAUAGUGCACCCUGCGUCUUCUCCUGAGAUGAUGGGCUGUGAGGAGCUUACCCGGAGGCUAGCAAAUGAGACUUGCACACGCCUCAGCCUCCUGUAGCCAAUGGCUUGCUCAGACCACAUAUAUUACCUUGUGCGGUUUCGCUCAUCAAGGGGAUUCCCGUCUUCAGCAGAACACAGCCUCGAGUCGUCCCUGGCUCCUCCAGAAAAGCAAGGGCACACAUCCUGCCCCCAGAAGAACUCAAGGUGUCCCGGGUAAGCAGAAACAGGGGGAAUCCUCCUCCCCUAGUUUCGUCUGGUGGAUUUGGGGUUUUAGGGAAAUGUGUCCUUUCUGAAGAGCUUAGAACUGCUUUCCUUGUGCUUUUCUACCCAACUGCUCCUCAGCGUUUCCCUGUCUCACCCUCUUCAUGUGUAAUCCACCCUCUCUGAGUUGUACUUUCAGUUUCAAGGUUUAAAUUACAGUAUUCCUCUUUUUUCCUGCAUCUAAAAUGUUUUUAGCUAACUAAGUAGUCAUAGUUGCUCAGUUACUAAUUAUGCCUAGGUUCCCGGUUCUAAACCAGAGGCCCACAGUUUAGGAAGUGCUUUCACAGGUAGGCAGAGGAGAAAUCUCCUUGCGCUUGGUUUGUGAAACAGUAAAUGAGGGUAGCGUGUCUGUCAGGCAUCCUUCUCAAAGGCCAACCUCAGAAACGACACCACUGGAUCUGAUGAAGGCAAGAUCUCUCUCCCCAUCUGUUGAUCUGUUUUCUGUUGGCCGAACCAGCUCAUCUCUUGUCUCUAGGCGUGUGGUUUGCUGUGUGUACAUUCAGAGCAGUGGCAUUUUUCUAGAAGUGACUAAGGCUUCUUGGAUGAAUUCUGUCUUUGAAAGAGGUGGUUGGAUUGCAUCAGAGAAGCAUUUACAGUAAAUGGCUCCCCCUUCCUGUGCUGACCACAUGUGAAAGAGUGCUUUAAUUCUUGUUUUGAGGAAGCGAGAGCCCCAGAGCUGUGUGAAAACUCCCUAGUCUCGUCAAUUAGCCAGAUUUGAAUCUGAGAAUUUUUCAAAUUGGAAUCACUCUGUGAUCCUAAAUAAAUGUCGAAGGAGAGCAAGCUUUCCAAGUUCAGUUUGGAGCAACUGAUGGUUCUGGCUUCAGAAAGAGGAAGUAGAUACAGUAAAUGACGUAAAUCUAAGCUAACUUCUUCCUGGCCAUUUUGUGUUAAGUUCAUCUGUUUCUUGGACAUGUUGAUGCUUGGACCUUGGGGCACUAAUUCUCAGCGAAAGCCUGUAGGUCUUUGCCAGGGUUCUCGGGAAGUGGGAUUUCCCCCAGUGGAAAUGUGCGAGGGUACUUUGUUUAUGCGAUAAGGGUAUUUUAAGGGGCUAGCCCCAUACAGAAAAACUUGCCCGCUAUCCCGCAUGACUUAACCUUAGGUGUUCAUGUAAGGAAAAGUUGGUAAUUUCCUGAGACUAGACUUAACGCCAGUUUUUUUUGUUUUGUUUUUUUUUUUAAGAAAACUAAACCAUUUUGCAUUUUCUUAGAGUGUACCCACUCUCUGUUGUCUAACAGUGCCUCACCCUUUUAUCUGACUACUUGUUUAAAAAAAUUUACAAUUGCAUUUAUUUGUAUGCCCACAUGCUGCGCACGUGUGGAGGUCAAAGGACAGUGUGCAGAAAUCAGGUCUUGUUUUCCACCUCAUGCUGAGUGCUCAUGUGGAAAUCAAGAUGGCAGACUCUGAGGUCUUAAAUCCAAGUAAAUUACAAGGGCCUGUUUCAUUGUACAGUUUAAUAUAUAAUUUAAUUUAUAAUUCCUUAUAUAUUGAAAUAAGAGUAUUUCGAUUAUACACUUCUUUUCCCUUUUAUGUUGGCUCUAGAGGAUUGCCUUCGGCUUUUUAAAAGCUGCCUACACAAUAGUUAAUAUUACUGUUGAAUUUUAUUUCGGAAUAGUACCACAUGACAUGAUUUUAUUCUAGUUUUAUAAAAAGGUGGCUUUGAGAGCUCCGGUCAUGGCCCACUGGGUAAAGUGGAGAGGAGUACACACUGUCAUGCCAUAGUGCUCCUGUGGAAACUCGGGUCCCAGCUAGCCUGGCACACAGAGAGACAAAUAACAAGAGACCCUGUCUCAAUCAAUGUUGAGGACCUAUACCGAGGUUGUUCUUUAUCAGUACCUUUGUGCCCGUAUUCACACUCAUGAACAUUUGUGCACACACACACACCUGUGCACAAGCACACAUGCUGGCUCUAAUUUUUUAAAGAGGGCUCUGUGCUGAGUAGGGUUUUAAAACACUGAUUGAUCCCACUGCUCUUGCUGCUUUAGAAGGGAGGGCAGUGUGAAGAGGGCACUCCCCCUGUGCCUGAGGUGCUCGUCUUCUUGUGCCGCCUUCCCAGUGGGCUUUCUGGACCUGUGUAUUUUAUUCUUUCCAGAGCUCACUUGAUCUUUAGCCUGUUCCCUUUCUGUAAAAAAGGAAAAACAGGUAUGAAAGGAAGUUUACUUACCAUGGUGCAAACUAGCCAGGAGUUAAAAAUAGACCCAGGUUUUCUUGCUAUGGGACAAUGUGUCCCUGCCUUCUGAACCUGUUCUGUGUGUGCUGUUUGCACUUGAGACAGCCCUGUCAGCCUCGAUCACCAUAGGGAAGGUACUGACGAUACAGUACAUUGACCUCUCAGCGUCACAGCCGAGGGUUAGGCUGACCAGCAAAGUGUUCCUUAGUGCUUGCUCGUGGGCCUGUGACUUUUAAUUUUCUGGGCCUCUUAUUUCAAUGCUGUCUUGAUAUUGUAUGGAUGUGAUUAUUAUUUCUCAAAGAAUUUUGGGUUAUUCAUGAAAGUUUUUCUUUCUUUCUAGAAAAGAAACUCUUUGCUGUCUUAUAUUUUUCUAUUGCUCCCAGGGUCUUUUUGUUGUUUAUCUUGGUUUCUUGAUACUUGGGUCUCUCUCCCUCUCUCGUGUUUCCUUCUGACUAGACACUGGGGGAGGGGGACCCCAAUGCUGUGCUAUUGGAAAGCUGCUAAGAAUUGGGAUGAGGACUUCAUUUGGGGGUUCUCCUAGACACAUUAGCAGUUGAGUCCCCAUGAAGCUUAGAGAAUUGCCUCCCUAUUUUCAUUUUGGGGGGGUGCGACUGAGGUCUGUUCUUCCUUAUAAGCACAGGAAGUGGGCAUGGGAGGAACACGUGUAUGAUUCCAGACAUUGCUGCUGCUUCCUUUCCGUUCUUGUCAUCAUUUCUGGCUCUCACCGCACUUGCUUUCUUUGAACUUGAAACCCUAUAGGGUUCUCCUGAAUAAAGCUACUUGGCCCUCCUCAGUGUCUCUCAGACACUGAGUUCAGGCUUUGAGCUGCCUCUGCUUAGCAUAUUGGGUCCCAUUUUACCCUCCAGACAUUUGAGCAAAGCUCUCAGGUUCUUGUCUGUGAGUAUGGGGCAGGCAGGGCUGUAUGCAUGAGUGCCAUGCAUCUACUGGCGUGCUUAGUUACAGAGAGGGAACCAAGAGAAACAGCAAAAAUACCUCUCAGUGAAUGGAAUUGGAUUUUUCCUGUAGCAUACCACCGUCUUAAAAUGGCAAGACCUUCACCCGAUGAUUUAUUAGAAUUAAAUCUGAACAAUUGAGUCAAAAAAAUAAGGUUAGCCAGAUGGUAGUUUUUUGUUACCGUGGAAAGAGUUUGGCUCAUGGUUCUGGUUUAGUCCGUCUGCCUGUUGUUUGGGACCAGUGUUGAAGCAACAUGGUUGUGGAAUUGCUGACUCGAGGGUAGUUGGGAAGUGAAAGGAGAAAAUCCUUCAUGAGCUCAUGCCCAGUGACCUAAUUUCCGCCUGCCAGACCCCACCCCCUAAAGGUUCUGUCUACCACUUGAUACCAAGGACUUGGGACCAAGCCUUCAAGAUCGUGGAGGGCUUCAGGAUGCAUUUCGAAUUGAGUCAUGGGAGAGAGGUAAACGGCAUCCUGACUGCAGUAGGGUUGCUGAAAACUACCUCGAAUUACAUGACUGAUGAUUAUUCAGGGUGAGCCUCACCUGGUUAGUUCCCACCUAGUCAUUAAAACCUACAGAAGUAGUGAUAGUUGUCUGAUCUGCGGCUCCAUUGCUGCUUGGUUCCUAUAACAUCUGGCAGUCAUUCCCUGGGAGGCAGAAACUCUCCCACUUCCUGUUCUGAGAGAUGUUUCUAGACACCCCCACUUAUUUGUUAAGAACCUCCAACCCCAUGUUGAUUGUCCUUGCACUCUAUGAAGUGGGAAAAGUAGAUACCAUUUAAUCAGGUCUUGAACUUCCUGAAACAGUUGGUGAAUUACCGUGGGAAAGUACGCAGAUUUUAACAGGACUCAUUCGUGCCUCAGUCAAGAAGCAGAACAGUUACGUUAUGUAGUGAUCUUCCCUAACCCUUCCCUCCCUUGCUGGCAUAAACGUUUCUCUUACUCUAGUCUCCUACAGGUUGUCAUAGAGUAGGAACUCUUGUCUACCAUCUCUCAACUGGGGUAUUUCACUGCUGUGUGCAUCCAUCCUCCGUUCUUCCUUCAUAGGAAGGUGGUAUUCUGCACCUGAGUGCUGUAGAGACGCAGUUGGUGGGUCUUCCUGGCCUCUGUUGGGACGCUUUCUACCUUCUCAGCUAUCAUGAGUACCACUGGAAGCAGGUCGUCUGUUCCUUUUUGGAUUUAUGGACCAUACAGAAGAUAUAUGUACCUUUAUUUAGCUUCUAAGCUAUUUGCCAAAGUAAUCGUACCAUUUUAUAUGUUAUUCCAGCAAGCAGGGAGAGUUCCAGGUACUCAUUUCUUUCCUAACUGUGUAUAUUGUUGAUUUUCUAAGUUAGCUUAUUCUCUUGGGUAACAAGUCGUGCAUUAUUGUGGUUUUAAAUUUGGCAUUUCCUUUAUGGGUAAUAUGCAAUUACUGGCAAUGUAUAUGUAAUAUUUUUGGAGUGUCUAUUCAAGUCUUUUGACUUUUUUCUUUUGUUUUUGUUUUGUUUUCUGUAUGUUCCAGGCUGGCCUUAAGCUGUUGAGCCUUGUGCCUCCCAAGUGGUAGAGUAAUUGGUAUAUAUCACUAUGCCUGACCCUUAUUUGCUAAUUUUAAAUUCUUCUGCAAAGCUUAAAAUUAAAAGAAUUUAAACAAAAAAUACUCCUGAACUAUUGGUAGGUUGUUUUUUUUCCCCCUAAAUCUUUGUCCCCAACUCUGAAGUUUUCUCCAGUGUGUUCGAUCCAUGCUUUAGCUAGAAAUCAGACUCCAGUUAGUUGUCCUGUGUGUUCAGAAGCUUACAAAAGAGCUUUACUUUCCUCAUUGACUUGUUCAGGCACUGUUGUUGAAAGUCAG